AUUGAACGCUGGCGGCAGGCUUAACACAUGCAAGUUGAACGAUGAUUAUCUAGCUUGCUAGAUAUGAUUAGUGGCGGACGGGUGAGUAACAUUUAGGAAUCUGCCUAGUAGUGGGGGAUAGCUCGGGGAAACUCGAAUUAAUACCGCAUACGACCUACGGGUGAAAGGGGGCGCAAGCUCUUGCUAUUAGAUGAGCCUAAAUCAGAUUAGCUAGUUGGUGGGGUAAAGGCCCACCAAGGCGACGAUCUGUAACUGGUCUGAGAGGAUGAUCAGUCACACCGGAACUGAGACACGGUCCGGACUCCUACGGGAGGCAGCAGUGGGGAAUAUUGGACAAUGGGGGCAACCCUGAUCCAGCCAUGCCGCGUGUGUGAAGAAGGCCUUUUGGUUGUAAAGCACUUUAAGCAGGGAGGAGAGGCUAAUGGUUAAUACCCAUUAGAUUAGACGUUACCUGCAGAAUAAGCACCAGCUAACUCUGUGCCAGCAGCCGCGGUAAUACAGAGGGUGCGAGCGUUAAUCGGAAUUACUGGGCGUAAAGCGAGUGUAGGUGGCUCAUUAAGUCACAUGUGAAAUCCCCGGGCUUAACCUGGGAACUGCAUGUGAUACUGGUGGUGCUAGAAUAUGUGAGAGGGAAGUAGAAUUCCAGGUGUAGCGGUGAAAUGCGUAGAGAUCUGGAGGAAUACCGAUGGCGAAGGCAGCUUCCUGGCAUAAUAUUGACACUGAGAUUCGAAAGCGUGGGUAGCAAACAGGAUUAGAUAUCCUGGUAGUCCACGCCGUAAACGAUGUCUACUAGCCGUUGGGGUCCUUGAGACUUUAGUGGCGCAGUUAACGCGAUAAGUAGACCGCCUGGGGAGUACGGCCGCAAGGUUAAAACUCAAAUGAAUUGACGGGGGCCCGCACAAGCGGUGGAGCAUGUGGUUUAAUUCGAUGCAACGCGAAGAACCUUACCUGGUCUUGACAUAGUGGGAAUCCUGCAGAGAUGCGGGAGUGCCUUCGGGAAUUCACAUACAGGUGCUGCAUGGCUGUCGUCAGCUCGUGCCGUGAGAUGUUGGGUUAAGUCCCGCAACGAGCGCAACCCUUUUCCUUAUUUGCCAGCGGGUUAAGCCGGGAACUUUAAGGAUACUGCCAGUGACAAACUGGAGGAAGGCGGGGACGACGUCAAGUCAUCAUGGCCCUUACGACCAGGGCUACACACGUGCUACAAUGGUAGGUACAGAGGGUUGCUACACAGCGAUGUGAUGCUAAUCUCAAAAAGCCUAUCGUAGUCCGGAUUGGAGUCUGCAACUCGACUCCAUGAAGUCGGAAUCGCUAGUAAUCGCAGAUCAGAAUGCUGCGGUGAAUACGUUCCCGGGCCU
rnacentral:rRNA from 1 species